GUGGGGAAUAUUGGACAAUGGGCGAAAGCCUGAUCCAGCCAUGCCGCGUGUGUGAAGAAGGUCUUCGGAUUGUAAAGCACUUUAAGUUGGGAGGAAGGGUAGUAACCUAAUACGUUGCUACUUUGACGUUACCGACAGAAUAAGCACCGGCUAACUUCGUGCCAGCAGCCGCGGUAAUACGAAGGGUGCAAGCGUUAAUCGGAAUUACUGGGCGUAAAGCGCGCGUAGGUGGUUUUGUAAGUUGGAGGUGAAAUCCCCGGGCUCAACCUGGGAACUGCCUCCAAAACUGCAUGAAUAGAGUACGGUAGAGGGUAGUGGAAUUUCCUGUGUAGCGGUGAAAUGCGUAGAUAUAGGAAGGAACACCAGUGGCGAAGGCGACUACCUGGACUGAUACUGACACUGAGGUGCGAAAGCGUGGGGAGCAAACAGGAUUAGAAACCCUAGUAGUCC
rnacentral:rRNA from 1 species